rnacentral:rRNA from 1 species
AUUGAACGCUGGCGGAAUGCUUUACACAUGCAAGUCGAGCGGCAGCACGGGGGUAACCCUGGUGGCGAGCGGCGAACGGGUGAGGAAUACAUCGGAACAUGCCCAGUCGUGGGGGAUAACACUUCGAAAGAAGUGCUAAUACCGCAUACGUCCUGAGGGAGAAAGCGGGGGAUCGCAAGACCUCGCGCGAUUGGAGUGGCCGAUGUCAGAUUAGCUAGUUGGUGGGGUAAAGGCCUACCAAGGCAACGAUCUGUAGCUGGUCUGAGAGGAUGAUCAGCCACACUGGGACUGAGACACGGCCCAGACUCCUACGGGAGGCAGCAGUGGGGAAUUUUGGACAAUGGGGGCAACCCUGAUCCAGCCAUUCCGCGUGAGUGAAGAAGGCCUUCGGGUUGUAAAGCUCUUUCGGCAGGAACGAAACGGUGAGCUCUAACAUAGCUUGCUAAUGACGGUACCUGAAGAAGAAGCACCGGCUAACUACGUG